GAUGAACGCUGGCGGCGUGCCUAAUACAUGCGAGUCGAGCGAACGGACGAGAAGCUUGCUUCUCUGAUGUUAGCGGCGGACGGGUGAGUAACACGUGGAUAACCUACCUAUAAGACUGGGAUAACUUCGGGAAACCGUAGUUAAUACCGGAUAAUAUUUUGAACCGCAUGGUUCAAAAGUGAAAGACGGUCUUGCUGUCACUUAUAGAUGGAUCCGCGCUGCAUUAGCUAGUUGGUAAGGUAACGGCUUACCAAGGCAACGAUGCAUAGCCGACCUGAGAGGGUGAUCGGCCACACUGGAACUGAGACACGGUCCAGACUCCUACGGGAGGCAGCAGUAGGGAAUCUUCCGCAAUGGGCGAAAGCCUGACGGAGCAACGCCGCGUGAGUGAUGAAGGUCUUCGGAUCGUAAAACUCUGUUAUUAGGGAAGAACAUAUGUGUAAGUAACUGUGCACAUCUUGACGGUACCUAAUCAGAAAGCCACGGCUAACUACGUG
rnacentral:rRNA from 1 species